rnacentral:rRNA from 1 species
AUGAUUUCCUAUUUGACUGAGCGGCGGACGGGUGAGUAACGCGUGGGUAACCUGCCUCAUACAGGGGGAUAACAGUUAGAAAUGACUGCUAAUACCGCAUAAAGCGUCAAAUUCGCAUGUUUUUGAUGCCAAAGGAGCAAUCCGCUUUUAGAUGAGCUCGCGUCUGAUUAGCUUGUUGGUGAGGUAACGGCCCACCAAGGCGACGAUCAGUAGCCGGCCUGAGAGGGUGAACGGCCACAUUGGGACUGAGACACGGCCCAGACUCC